rnacentral:rRNA from 1 species
GGUUAAGCGACUAAGCGUACACGGUGGAUGCCCUGGCAGUCAGAGGCGAUGAAGGACGUGCUAAUCUGCGAAAAGCGUCGGUAAGGUGAUAUGAACCGUUACAGCCGGCGAUGUCCGAAUGGGGAAACCCAGUGUGAUUCGUCACACUAUCGUUAACUGAAUACAUAGGUUAACGAGGCGAACCGGGGGAACUGAAACAUCUAAGUACCCCGAGGAAAAGAAAUCAACCGAGAUUCCCCCAGUAGCGGCGAGCGAACGGGGAGCAGCCCAGAGUCUGAAUCAGCUUGUGUGUUAGUGGAACGGUCUGGAAAGUCCGACGGUACAGGGUGAUAGUCCCGUACACCAAAAUGCACAGGUUGUGAACUCGAAGAGUAGGGCGGGACACGUGGUAUCCUGUCUGAAUAUGGGGGGACCAUCCUCCAAGGCUAAAUACUCCUGACUGACCGAUAGUGAACCAGUACCGUGAGGGAAAGGCGAAAAGAACCCCGGCGAGGGGAGUGAAAAAGAACCUGAAACCGUGUACGUACAAGCAGUGGGAGCACCUUCGGGUGUGACUGCGUACCUUUUGUAUAAUGGGUCAGCGACUUAUAUUCUGUAGCAAGGUUAACCGUAUAGGGGAGCCGCAGGGAAACCGAGUCUUAACUGGGCGUUAAGUUGCAGGGUAUAGACCCGAAACCCGGUGAUCUAGCCAUGGGCAGGUUGAAGGUUGGGUAACACUAACUGGAGGACCGAACCGACUAAUGUUGAAAAAUUAGCGGAUGACUUGUGGCUGGGGGUGAAAGGCCAAUCAAACCGGGAGAUAGCUGGUUCUCCCCGAAAGCUAUUUAGGUAGCGCCUCGUGAAUUCAUCUUCGGGGGUAGAGCACUGUUUCGGCUAGGGGGUCAUCCCGACUUACCAACCCGAUGCAAACUACGAAUACCGAAGAAUGUUAUCACGGGAGACACACGGCGGGUGCUAACGUCCGUCGUGAAGAGGGAAACAACCCAGACCGCCAGCUAAGGUCCCAAAGUCAUGGUUAAGUGGGAAACGAUGUGGGAAGGCACAGACAGCCAGGAUGUUGGCUUAGAAGCAGCCAUCAUUUAAAGAAAGCGUAAUAGCUCACUGGUCGAGUCGGCCUGCGCGGAAGAUGUAACGGGGCUAAACCAUGCACCGAAGCUGCGGCAGCGACACUAUGUGUUGUUGGGUAGGGGAGCGUUCUGUAAGCCUGCGAAGGUGACCUGUGAGGGUUGCUGGAGGUAUCAGAAGUGCGAAUGCUGACAUAAGUAACGAUAAAGCGGGUGAAAAGCCCGCUCGCCGGAAGACCAAGGGUUCCUGUCCAACGUUAAUCGGGGCAGGGUGAGUCGACCCCUAAGGCGAGGCCGAAAGGCGUAGUCGAUGGGAAACAGGUUAAUAUUCCUGUACUUGGUGUUACUGCGAAGGGGGGACGGAGAAGGCUAUGUUAGCCGGGCGACGGUUGUCCCGGUUUAAGCAUGUAGGCUGGUUAUCCAGGCAAAUCCGGAUAAUCAAGGCUGAGGUGUGAUGACGAGGCACUACGGUGCUGAAGUAACAAAUGCCCUGCUUCCAGGAAAAGCCUCUAAGCAUCAGGUAACAUCAAAUCGUACCCCAAACCGACACAGGUGGUCAGGUAGAGAAUACCAAGGCGCUUGAGAGAACUCGGGUGAAGGAACUAGGCAAAAUGGUGCCGUAACUUCGGGAGAAGGCACGCUGGUGUGUAGGUGAAGUCCCUGCGGAUGGAGCUGAGACCAGUCGAAGAUACCAGCUGGCUGCAACUGUUUAUUAAAAACACAGCACUGUGCAAACACGAAAGUGGACGUAUACGGUGUGACGCCUGCCCGGUGCCGGAAGGUUAAUUGAUGGGGUUAUCCGUAAGGAGAAGCUCUUGAUCGAAGCCCCGGUAAACGGCGGCCGUAACUAUAACGGUCCUAAGGUAGCGAAAUUCCUUGUCGGGUAAGUUCCGACCUGCACGAAUGGCGUAAUGAUGGCCAGGCUGUCUCCACCCGAGACUCAGUGAAAUUGAACUCGCUGUGAAGAUGCAGUGUACCCGCGGCAAGACGGAAAGACCCCGUGAACCUUUACUAUAGCUUGACACUGAACAUUGAGCCUUGAUGUGUAGGAUAGGUGGGAGGCUUUGAAGCGUGGACGCCAGUCUGCGUGGAGCCAACCUUGAAAUACCACCCUUUAAUGUUUGAUGUUCUAACGUUGGCCCCUUAUCGGGGUUGCGGACAGUGUCUGGUGGGUAGUUUGACUGGGGCGGUCUCCUCCCAAAGCGUAACGGAGGAGCACGAAGGUUAGCUAAUCCUGGUCGGACAUCAGGAGGUUAGUGCAAUGGCAUAAGCUAGCUUGACUGCGAGCGUGACGGCGCGAGCAGGUGCGAAAGCAGGUCAUAGUGAUCCGGUGGUUCUGAAUGGAAGGGCCAUCGCUCAACGGAUAAAAGGUACUCCGGGGAUAACAGGCUGAUACCGCCCAAGAGUUCAUAUCGACGGCGGUGUUUGGCACCUCGAUGUCGGCUCAUCACAUCCUGGGGCUGAAGUAGGUCCCAAGGGUAUGGCUGUUCGCCAUUUAAAGUGGUACGCGAGCUGGGUUUAGAACGUCGUGAGACAGUUCGGUCCCUAUCUGCCGUGGGCGCUGGAGAAUUGAGGGGGGCUGCUCCUAGUACGAGAGGACCGGAGUGGACGCAUCACUGGUGUUCGGGUUGUCAUGCCAAUGGCACUGCCCGGUAGCUAAAUGCGGAAGAGAUAAGUGCUGAAAGCAUCUAAGCACGAAACUUGCCCCGAGAUGAGUUCUCCCUGAGACUUUAAGUCUCCUGAAGGAACGUUAAAGACGAUGACGUUGAUAGGCCGGGUGUGUAAGCGCAGCGAUGCGUUGAGCUAACCGGUACUAAUGAACCGUGAGGCUUAACCUU